UUAUUAUUAUAGGAUAUCGGCUUCUACAUGCAGAAGGGAGAGAAUCCUUCUUUUGCUGAGCUGUCUGAAAGAGCAUAUUUGCGACGAGAAGUUGCCAUUGGUUACAUGAAGAACAAUACGAAGGUUAUAAAUCCAAUGCCCAAGUCUGAGCCUCUGUCCCUUGAAUUGACAGAUUCGUUGAUUGUAAUAUCUGAGCUUGAAGGAGAACAACCCUUGCUUAUUUAAACUUGUAAUCGUUUAAUUUUUUAUUUUCAACUAAACAAAUCUUUGAUUCAUUUCAUUGUUCACAAAGUGCAUAUUAUAAUGAGCAAAAAGUCUGUUAUCAUGGACCUCUUUGGUA